rnacentral:rRNA from 1 species
ACGGGAGGCAGCAGUGAGGAAUAUUGGUCAAUGGUCGGAAGACUGAACCAGCCAUGCCGCGUGCAGGAAUAAGGCCCUAUGGGUCGUAAACUGCUUUUGUGGUGGAGCAAUAAGGCGUACGUGUACGUCGAUGAGAGUACAUCACGAAUAAGCAUCGGCUAACUCCGUGCCAGCAGCCGCGGUAAUACGGAGGAUGCAAGCGUUAUCCGGAUUUAUUGGGUUUAAAGGGUGCGUAGGCUGUGCAUCAAGUCAGCGGUGAAAGCCCGGGGCCUAACUCCGGAACUGCCGUUGAUACUGUUGUGCCGGAAUACGGAUGCCGUGGGAGGAAUGAGUAGUGUAGCGGUGAAAUGCAUAGAUAUUACUCAGAACACCGAUUGCGAAGGCAUCUCACGAAUCCGUUAUUGACGCUGAGGCACGAAAGCGUGGGGAUCAAACAGGAUUAGAUACCCUGGUA